GUGGGCUCCUUUGGAGGCUGUUGUAUCCCUUCUGAAUGUGGUGUUGGCAUAAAAGGCAGACUCGUAUCAUGAGGAAUGAUUGUCAUCUUGUAUGAUUCUUGGAGAUGGCAGGAAGCCCCUGGAAACACAUGAUGUGGACUCUGUCAUAGGCUGUUGAAACCCUCCCGAAGGUAGCAUUGGCAUGGAGGGCAGGCCCAUAUUGGCGAGGGACAAUUGUUACCUCGUGUGAGCCAUGGAGACACCAGGAAGCCCCUGGACACAAAUGGCAAAGGCUCCUUUGGAAGUUGUUGGAUCCCUUCUGAAUGUGAGGCCAGAGACAGGCAGACAGCAGGGAGCUGGAUGACAUGGCCUUUGGAACCUGUGCGCAUGCCUGCCUUUCUGAUGCACGUCCAUGUUUUCUCUGCACCUCCCUGGUGGUGUUGGUAUAAAAAG
rnacentral:lncRNA from 1 species